UCCACCUCCACCAACAGGGUGGAAAACAAAGAUCGCCAUUCCGAUUAGCUGCUAUCUCCCAGUUCAAGCACUUUUGUGUCUGGACACUGGUUCCUGUGGAUGGGGUGUUACAAGCUUUACUGUCUGAUAUAGAAGUGAUGAGCAUCCAUAAGGACACAUGCCAGAAAGGGAGUCUCUUUGGGAUGACAAACCCUCAUCACCUCAUGAGGAUACAAUGGUUGACGAAUGGUUCUCAAGCACAUCGAAACUUCCAACAAAUAAUUCAUGAAAAAGCCAGUCAGUGCUAGCACCAGGAAUUGAACGUGGGCCAUCCUGCUAGCAGUCAGAGAUGUUCAGUGGUGUAGCCACGAGGGGGCUAGGGGGUCUCGAGCCCCCCCUACCUGCCACGGACCGACCCACACAAAUCGUGCAAAUCCGAGAACAUAAUAUAUGGGGGGGGACCAGUGUGACUAUCGCGAAAGUUCUUGCAGUUCAUGGCGUCUA